GUAGGACGUCUCCUCUCCCAGAGCACCCGAGUUCCAGCCCUGCUGCUAUUAAUACCAUGGGUAAACUCAGACGCUUCUCCUUCCUCCUCCCCUUGCCUUUUUUUGUCCAAAGACUGGAAAAGAGCACGUCCGCAUCCCCCCCCCAGGGAGGUUCUGCCGCUCUAAGCAACAAGGGCCGCCAGACUGGCCCAGUAACCAGGUAUCCAAGGUCAGGCUGCCCUAAACCGCACAGCUCCGGGCACUCAUGCUCCCCCAUCUGACCACGCAGAUGCCUGGCCUUUGGGCAAGAAACCAUGCUCUGAUUCUCGCUAUUCUGAAUGCGCUUUGCAAAACCUCCCAGCAGCUGCAUCGAGCUAUUCAUUAGCUGACAGCGGAGACCUUCAGGCAGAACCAGACGGACGGAUGGUUUUGGGGGUUUCUCACCUCUCAGUUUCCAUUCGCUAGGAGGGAAAACCGGGGGCUUAGACCGCAGGGGUAGUGGCCUCAGAGAUGGGGUUUCACCUUCUUGGCCAGGCUGGUAUCAAACUCUUGACCUCAUGAUACACCCGCCUCAGCCUCUCAAAGUGCUGGGAGUACAGGCGUGAGCCACCACACCCAGCCUCAAAGAAUUUUUUUAAGCCUUAAGAAAUAACACGGCUGGGCGUGGUGGCUCAUGCCUGUAAUCCCAGCACUUUGGGAGGCUGAGGCAGACAGAUCACAAGGUCAGGAGUUCAAGACCGGCCUGGCCAGUAUGGUCAAACCCCGUCUCUAUUAAAAAUAAAAAAAUUAGCUGGGCGUGGUGGCUGGUGCCUAUAGUCCCAGCUACUCGGGAGGCUGAAGCAGGAGAAUCACUUGAACCCGGGAGGCGGAGGUUGCAGUGAGCCGAGAUUAUGCCACUGCACUCCAGCCUGGGUGACAAAGCAAGACUUUGUUUCAAAAAAAAAAGAGAGAGAGAGAAAAACAACACAACACUAGGUGUCCGGUGUGCAAAAUUUGGAAAAUUAUGAAAAAUAAAAACAAAAAGAAGACCCCAUAAGCCAACUGUGUAGAGGUAACCUCUCUCACCUUCUUGUCAGACAUCCUUCUGAUCGCCUUCUCCUCCACAUUGAAAUGUAUUUUUAAAAAGUUUUUUUUGAGACAGGAUCUUGCUCUAUUGCCCAAGCUAGAAUGCACUGGUAUAAACGCGAGUCACUGUAGCCUCGACCUCCUAGACUCCAGCAAUCCUCCUCCCUCAGCCUCCUGAGUAGCUGAGACUACAGGUACGUGCCAUCACACCUGGCUAAUUUUGAAACUUUUAUGUAGAGAUGGGAUCUCGCUAUGUUGCUCAAGCUGGUCUCAAACUCCUGGGCUCAAACAACCCUCCCAGCUCGGCCUCCCAAAAUGUUGAGAUCACAGGUAUGAGCCACCGUGCCCAGCCUAAAUACAUAUUUUAAGGGAUUCACGUCACAUACUGCGUUCUGCAGGCGGCCCGUGACUUCACACUCAUCAAUAGCCAAAAGUCCGUCUCCACACCCUGAUGGUCUGCGCUGGACUCCGUGUCAUGGAUCUGUCACCUGCUUUGGGAUAUUUUGGUUUCUCCUGGUGUCUCACUAGCAUAUAUCACUGUGAUAGACGAUCUUGUUUCCACAGAUCUUUGUACAGGUAUCUGGUCCCCCUCACCUUGGGAUAAAUUCCUACAAAUAGAUUGUGACUCAGAAAGCUGCACUUCUUCACACGUGUUGCCGCAGGGAUUUUCCAGGUUAUUUCUGUUGGGGAUGGAGAACCCAGAACCUGAGAAAAGAUGAAUGUUCUUUUUUUUUUUUUUUUUUUUUUCUUGAGACGGAGUCUCGCUCUGUCACUCAGGCUGGAGUGCAGUGGCGUGAUCUCGGCUCACUGCAAGCUCCACCUCCCGGGUUCACACCAUUCUCCUGCCUCAGCCUCCUAAGUAGCUGGGACUACAGGCGCCUGCCAUCAUGCCUAGCUAAUUUUUGUGUUUUUAGUAGAGAUGGGGUUUCACCAUGUUGGCCAGGAUGGUCUCGAUCUCCUGACCUCGUGAUCCGCCUGCCACGGCCUCCCAAAGUGCUGGGAUUACAGGCAUGAGCCACCGCACCCGGCCUUUUUUUUUUUUUGAGACGGAGUCUCACUCUGUUGCCCAGAGCUGGAGUACAAGUGGCGCGAUCUCGGCUCACUGCAAACUCCACUUCCUGGGUUCAAGCGAUUCUCCUGCCUCAGCCACCCAAGUAGCUGCGAUUACAGGUGCCCGUCACCUCGCCCGGCUAAUUUUUGUAUUUUUAGGAAGGACAGGGCUUCACCCUGUUGGCCAGGCUGGUCUCGAACUCCUGACUUCAAGUGAUCCACCCGCCUUGGCCUCCCAAAUUGCUGGGAUUACAGGCGUGAGCCACCGAGCCUGGCCUGAAUGUUCUGUCCUAAAGCUGCUUAUUACAAAGAAGUUGUGGAAUAUCCUCCCCCCAACCCCCACGCCCCUCCCUGAAUAGCCACCGGAAAGGAAAUUAUGCAUCGAGGCCGGGCGCGGCGGCUCAACCUGUAAUCCCAGCACUUUGGGAGGCCGAGGCGGGCGGAUCACGAGGUCAGAAGAUCAAGACCAUCCUGGCUAACACAGUGAAACUCCAUCUUUACUAAAGAUACAAAAAAUUAGCCGGGCGUGGUGGCGGGCGCCUGUAGUCCCAGCUACUCAGGAGGCUGAGGCAGGAGAAUGGCGUGAACCUGGGAGGCGGAGCUUGCAGUGAGCUGAGAUCGCGCCACUGCACUCCAGCCUGGGCGACAGAGACUCCGUCUCAAAAAAAAAAAAAAAAAAAGCAAUUAUGUGUCAAGCCCAGAGUGGCAGUUCCUCCUCUGUCUGUUGGGUCAGCCCGGGAGACUGGAAGCCCAGAUGAGUAGGGCCCCUCCUGGGUGCCCCAAGUUGGGUGGCGCCAUGCCCAGUGCCAGGACCCCCGAAACACAGAGGCAGCCUGCUGAUGACCUGGCCCCUGCCAGCCAAGGCUUCACUCAGCCAACGCCCUGUCCACACUGCACCCGGGACACGCUGGUCUCCCACCGGCAGACUGCACACCCCUUUCUGGUUGAAGCUACCUCGUCAGAGUCUAUUCUAGAAAGAGGCCGUGAUAUGGGGACCCCUGUCCUUUCAGUGAUGAACAAAGGGGGCCGCCCCCAACUUUGACCCCAUCACCAUCCUCUGACCCAGGCCGACUUGGGGUUAAAAGAGAACUGUGUGGCCUGGGGAAGCUGCUUCACCUUGCCCUGCCUCAGUUUCCCCAGGGUGGGUUACAUAGCGGCUCCCAAAAAUGUGCCUACUUGCACCAUCAGAAUGGG
rnacentral:lncRNA from 1 species